UACGACUAUAUAGCGUUGAAACACCGGUUACUGUACGAUCACUGAAGUUAAGCAACGUCACUCUUGGUCAGUAUCUAAAUGGGUGACCAUUUGGGAAUACUAGGUGCUG